CCUACGGGAGGCAGCAGUGAGGAAUAUUGGUCAAUGGACGAGAGUCUGAACCAGCCAAGUAGCGUGAAUGAUGACUGCCCUCUGGUUUGUAAACUUUUUUUAUAAAGGAAUAAAACGAGGCACGUGUUCAUGUUUGCAUGUACUUUAUGAAUAAGGAUCGGCUAACUCCGUACCAGCAGCCGCGGUAAUACGGAGGAUGCGAGCGUUAUCCGGAUGUAUUGGGUUUAAAGGGAGCGUAGAUGGGUUGGUAAGUCAGUUGUGAAAGUUUGCGGCUCAACCGUAAAAUUGCAAUUGAUACUGGCAGUCUUGAGUACAGUUGAGGUAGGCGGAAUUCGUGGUGUAGCGGUGAAAUGCUUAGAUAUCACGAAGAACCCCGAUUGCGAAGGCAGCUUACUAAACUGUGACUGACAUUGAUGCUCGAAAGUGUGGGGAUCAAACAGGAUUAGAUACCCUUGUAGUC
rnacentral:rRNA from 1 species